rnacentral:rRNA from 1 species
GAUGAACGCUAGCGAUAGGCCUAACACAUGCAAGUCGAGGGGCAUCACAUGAGGUAGCAAUACUUCUGGUGGCGACCGGCGCACGGGUGAGUAACACGUAUGCAACCUGCCUUCAACAAGGGCAUAACCCGUUGAAAGACGGACUAAUUCCCUAUGACACAGGGGUCCCGCAUGGGGAUAUUUGUUAAAGAUAUUAUCGGUUGAAGAUGGGCAUGCGUUCCAUUAGCUUGUUGGCGGGGUAACGGCCCACCAAGGCAACGAUGGAUAGGGGAACUGAGAGGUUUAUCCCCCACACUGGUACUGAGACACGGACCAGACUCCUACGGGAGGCAGCAGUGAGGAAUAUUGGUCAAUGGACGCAAGUCUGAACCAGCCACGUCGCGUGAAGGAAGACGGCCCUACGGGUUGUAAACUUCUUUUAUACGGGAAUAAAGUGCCCCACGCGUGGGGUUUUGCAAGUACCGUACGAAUAAGGAUCGGCUAACUCCGUGCCAGCAGCCGCGGUAAUACGGAGGAUCCGAGCGUUAUCCGGAUUUAUUGGGUUUAAAGGGUGCUCAGGCGGGGGAUUAAGUCGGCGGUGAAAUUUUGCAGCUCAACUGUAAAAGUGCCUUCGAAACUGGUUUCCUUGAGUGCGGAUGAGGUAGGCGGAAUUUGUGGUGUAGCGGUGAAAUGCAUAGAUAUCACGAGGAACUCCGAUUGCGCAGGCAGCUUACCAAGCCGUAACUGACGCUCAAGCACGAAGGCGUGGGGAUCAAACAGGAUUAGAUACCCUGGUAGUCCACGCAGUAAACGAUGAUUACUGGCUGUUUGCGAUAUAAUGUAAGCGGCUGAGCGAAAGCGUUAAGUAAUCCACCUGGGGAGUACGUUCGCAAGAAUGAAACUCAAAGGAAUUGACGGGGGCCCGCACAAGCGGAGGAACAUGUGGUUUAAUUCGAUGAUACGCGAGGAACCUUACCCGGGCUUGAAAUGCAUCUGGCGUCCCGAGAGAUCGGGAUUUCCCACGGG